rnacentral:rRNA from 1 species
GUUGACCUCGGAUCAGGUAGGACUACCCGCUGAACUUAAGCAUAUCAAUAAGCGGAGGAAAAGAAACCAACAGGGAUUGCCCCAGUAACGGCGAGUGAAGCGGCAACAGCUCAAAUUUGAAAUCUGGCCCCAGGCCCGAGUUGUAAUUUGCAGAGGAUGCUUUUGGCGCGGUGCCUUCCGAGUUCCCUGGAACGGGACGCCGUAGAGGGUGAGAGCCCCGUACGGUUGGACACCAAGCCUUUGUAAAGCUCCUUCGACGAGUCGAGUAGUUUGGGAAUGCUGCUCUAAAUGGGAGGUACAUUUCUUCUAAAGCUAAAUAUUGGCCAGAGACCGAUAGCGCACAAGUAGAGUGAUCGAAAGAUGAAAAGCACUUUGAAAAGAGGGUUAAACAGCACGUGAAAUUGUUAAAAGGGAAGCGCUUGUGACCAGACUUGCGUCCGGUGAAUCACCCAGCUCUCGCGGCUGGGGCACUUCGCCGGCACAGGCCAGCAUCAGCUUGCCGUCGGGGACAAAAGCUUCAGGAACGUGGCUCCUCUCGGGGAGUGUUAUAGCCUGUUGCAUAAUACCCUUCGGCGGGCUGAGGUACGCGCUCCGCAAGGAUGCUGGCGUAAUGGUCAUCAGCGAC